rnacentral:rRNA from 1 species
AUGAACGCUAGCUACAGGCUUAACACAUGCAAGUCGAGGGGAAACGAUGAGAGAGCUUGCUCUCUUAGUCGUCGACCGGCGCACGGGUGAGUAACGCGUAUCCAACCUGCCUCUGACCAAGGGAUAACCCGUCGAAAGUCGGACUAAUACCUUAUGCAGUCGUCGGAAGUCAUCUGAUGACGACGAAAGAUUUCAUCGGUGAGAGAUGGGGAUGCGUCUGAUUAGCUUGUUGGCGGGGUAACGGCCCACCAAGGCGACGAUCAGUAGGGGUUCUGAGAGGAAGGUCCCCCACAUUGGAACUGAGACACGGUCCAAACUCCUACGGGAGGCAGCAGUGAGGAAUAUUGGUCAAUGGGCGUAAGCCUGAACCAGCCAAGUAGCGUGCAGGAUGACGGCCCUAUGGGUUGUAAACUGCUUUUAUGCGGGGAUAAAGUGAGGGACGUGUCCUUCAUUGCAGGUACCGCAUGAAUAAGGACCGGCUAAUUCCGUG